rnacentral:rRNA from 1 species
CUUCCCAUACGGGUUGAAGCAUGACCGUAAGGACAUGUGGACAGUAUGGGAGUGAGAAUGUUGGCAUGAGUAGCGAGAUGUGGGUGAGAAUCCCACAGGCCGUAAACCCAAGGUUUCCAGGGGAAGGUUCGUCCGCCCUGGGUUAGUCGGGACCUAAGCUGAGGCCGAAAGGCGUAGGUGAUGGACAACAGGUUGAUAUUCCUGUACUACCGAUAACCGUUUGAGAGAAGGGAUGACACAGUAGGAUAAGCUAAGCACACUGUUGGUUAUGUGUGCCCAAGCAUUGAGGCAGUCAAAGUAGGUAAAUCCGCUUUGAUAAUGCUGGGAUGUGAUGGGGAGCGAAAUUUAGUAGCGAAGUAGCUGAUUUCACACUGUCAAGAAAAGUCUCUAUCGAGGUUAAAGGUACCCGUACCGCAAACCGACACAGGUG